CAUGGCGCGGAUCAUGGCCUGCAUGGCGGUGAAGAUGUUCUGGUACACCAGCUUGGUGAAGCCCCGCUUGUCCUCCUCCGAGUAGCCCGCCCCGUGGAUGAUGCGCAUCUGCUUGAUGAACGUGCUCUUCCCGCUCUCGCCCGUGCCUGCGGGGCGGGGCACGAGGCGUGAGGGGGUACGGGGUGCACCAGGCUCUUCCCGGGCACUACGCUGACCCCCACUCAGCCUCGAGGGAUCAAAAGGAUCAGAAAGUCAGCUGGAAAGGCGCAGCCCCAUGGGGUCCGCGAGCAGCACACCCUGGCCUCGCUGCAGCAGACACAGCCUGGGAUCCCCCCAGGGUUAGCCUCACACCCCCCGGGGAAGGGGGCACCCCACACUCUGGGCCGGUUAGUGCCCGCCACCUCCGCCACGCCCCCUUCCCGAGGGGGAGACCGAGGCCCCGGUGGCGAGCUCAGGCUGGGCUCCGCGACUGACUUCCAGCCAACAGAGGACAGAUGACAGGGCGUCACUUCCGAAACGAGGCCCGCACCGUCUGGCACUGCUGGCCCAGGGGAGGGGAGAGGUGGGGAGGGGCCAGCAGCCACACUGAGGACACUCGAGCAGUGGCGCGGAGAGGUCACCGGAAGGGCUGUGGCCGGAACCGGCUGAGCCCCACGGGGGACCCCCAGCCAGGCCGCCCAGACCCCCAGAGAGUAAGUCCGGGAGUGACGCUAUCACACAGCAGAGACACUGUAAGUUCAGCUCACAGACCGACGCCCCAGGGCCUCCUCCCGGGACUCGGGCUCCCCAGGCUCGUCCCACCUGCUGCGCAGGCUCGUUGUCACCACCGUGUCUGAGUCGGCCCCGCGCCCUCCCCGCACGCGGAGCCGUGGCCAUGCGGUGGCCCCAGCGGGGAGUCUCUCUGCAGGUGUCUGCAGCCCGGGAGCUGCCGCAGGGCGCCGGUUCUGCAGGCCCCGCGUGUCCACACUGUCCUGCGCCCGGGAAGCCCCACACCACUAUCUGAGUGACUGACCGCACUCAGGGAGGCCCGAGCCCCGACCAGACACCUUGAAGCAGGGCCUUGACCGAGGCACCUCUGCAGCCCUUCCAUCCGCAGCCUGGGAUCCGCCAUGGAGUCGUGAUCUCGUGGUUCAUGGGUUCAAUCCACACGUCA